AAUUAAGUGGGUGUUUUCAAUACAUUCUCAGAAAUAAGAGAUCAACCAUAUGGGAAAUUUCUGUCGGUCUGAAUUUUUCUUUACUAGAAAUAAUGAAAAAUCUGAUUUUCAACCUUGAAAAUGGGGGUCAACUUAUACAUGGAUAAAUACGGUAAUUAACUCCUUCGCUAUCAGUAAUUGCAUUAAAGAUUCUGUGUUAGAAAUCACAGCACCAUAUCCCAAAAUCUAAUGUUGUCCUCAGCACAAUUUCAUUUUUUGAGCAAGGCAAAGCUAAAAAUCAAUCAAGGGCCACAAAGACAUCACAGAGACAACAUUGCUAUGUAUAAUGUUUAUGUACUCAGAUAGGUAAAAGCUACUCUAUUCGUUAAUUCAAUGUCAAUACUCACCCUCAUAGUAGCGUUAUAUUUUAGCCAACUUGGGAAAUAGCAACCAAAAAUGAACCCUUUUGGACAUCCAAACUUUUAAAUUUCAAGGGGAAGGUUCCCCAGACUUUGCCAUCCAAGUGAGAAGAAAUGGCUGCCACACUGUCAUUUUUGUCCCCCCUAGCUGCUCAAAUGUGUUCCCUCCUUUCGGCAAUCUUACCAAAGCCUCCAUAUGUGUAGUAAUAAAAGCACUGAACUGAAGAGUGCUAUCUCAGCAAGAGAUGAUGAUCGUGCACACUUUUAAUGGAGUCAUCCUAGCAGAUGUUUGGCAAGGUAUUGCAUUCUUUGCUCAAAAUCUAGUUUUACAUAGACCUGGGAAAAAAGAAUGGGGUGUAGCAGUCAUUCAGGUCAGUUAAUUGCUCCAAGCUCUAAUUUUAUACCACUGCUCAUUUGGUUAUCUUUCUUGCCAAUACUCUUUCUGGUUAUUUGGGUUUUCUUGGAAACUUAGGCUCUUGCCAUUGAGAAGAAGCAUGAUAUGUGUUUACAAAUUAAAAGCGAAGAAAAGUGAAAAAAAUAAGAGAGUAACAGGAUGGUAUCAAGACUGGUAUAAUUUUUUUUUUUUUUUUUGCUGGGGGGUAGUUUUUUAUUUUUGAAUCAGAGUUUUAGCCUAAGUAUGUCUAAGUUUCUACACUUGUUGUUUAGUCUUGUGAUUUCUUACUUUAAGAAGUGACUAAAGGUAAAAUUUUUUAAUUUUUUUUAUUACAGCCAAUUGAGUGUGUAAAUGGAAAGUAAACACAAAAUAAUGAUGAAUAGGAUUGUUGAUCAAUAUUUGCUGAGUUGGCUACCAUGGCUCAAGAUGGAGGACCACGUGAGCAUGUGAUUAACAUGGACUGGCUGAAACAAGAAAUAGUUAUGGAAGAGCAGCUGGAAAAAGGAAGAGAAAAACAAA